rnacentral:rRNA from 1 species
AACGUAGGAGGCUAGCGUUAUCCGGAUUUAUUGGGCGUAAAGCGCGUGCAGGCGGUUUGAUAAGUUGGAUGUGAAAUCUCCCGGCUUAACUGGGAGCGGUCGUUCAAAACUAUCAGACUAGAGAAUGGGAGAGGAAGGUGGAAUUCCGGGUGUAGUGGUGAAAUGCGUAGAUAUCCGGAGGAACACCAGUGGCGAAAGCGGCCUUCUAGACCAUUUCUGACGCUAAGACGCGAAAGCUAGGGUAGCAAAC